UUGCUCACUUCGGCAGCACAUAUACCAAAAUUGGAAUGAUACAAAGAAGAUUGGCAUGGCCACUGCGCAAAGAUGACAUGCAAAUUCAUGAAGUGAUCCAUUUUUUU